rnacentral:misc_RNA from 1 species
GAUGAAGAACGUAGCGAAAUGCGAUAAGUAGUGUGAAUUGCAGAAUUCAGUGAAUCAUCGAAUCUUUGAACGCACAUUGCGCCCUUUGGUAUUCCAAAGGGCAUGCCUGUUCGAGCGUCAUUUGUACCCUCAAGCUUUGCUUGGUGUUGGGCGCCUUGUCUCUAGCUUUGCUGGAGACUCGCCUUAAAGUAAUUGGCAGCCGGCCUACUGGUUUCGGAGCGCAGCACAAGUCGCACUCUCUAUCAGCAAAGGUCUAGCAUCCAUUAAGCCUUUUUUUCAACUUUUGACCUCGGAUCAGGUAGGGAUACCCGCUGAACUUAAGCAUAUCAAUAAGCGGAGGA